AUGCCGCUCGAUUCGUCCGCCACUAUCGAUGCCACGCGAACCCAAAAUCUCCUGGCAGUUCACUGGCAUAAAGACAUCGGUGCACUCUGCGAACCCCCUCGCGUGGAGGCACGAGCGGGUCUGCAGCCCACUUCACCGUGGUUCCCUCGGGCCGCGGGCCGCGGCGACGAGGUCGUGGCGGCGUGGUUCGAGUACCAGGCGCGGCCCCGGGCUCGCAGGCAAGAGCGUCAGGCUCCUCCUGUCGAAGGGGCUCGCAGGCAAGAGCGUCAGGCCCCUCCUAUCGAAGGUGCUCGUCGUCCCAGAGGCGUCCGGUGCGGACUCGCCGGAGAAUCAGAAGUGUGCAAGGAGACCGACGUGGAGGACCUACUGUACCGCAUUCCCAUCUUUGAUCCCGUCCUCCCGGAGCUCUCCUCGCUGUUGUCUCUGGAGGAAGCGACGACGUCCGUCGCGUCGUGCCGCGAUGAGGACGACGACAUCAUGGAGAACCCAACACCAAGCCAAGUGCAACGCCGUCUCUGGCGCCCGUUCAGCCUUGGAAGCUUUGGUCCGACAGAUGAUGAGCUCAUGGAGUUCGCCGCCGACAUAGCCCAAGGUUUCCGGCGAUACAUGCUCGAGAUCGAUUUCGACCUUAGGCAACACCGGACUACAACACGGCAAGCAGCCGUGCAAGUGCCGACGUUCAGUUCCUCCGAGGAGCCUCACGCUCAAUCUAAUAGGUGGCCAUUAAGAGACCUGCCUGCGUGA
rnacentral:rRNA from 1 species